AGUGCUGUGGCUUAGUUGGUUAAAGUUCCUGUCUGGGAAACAGGUGAUCCUGGGUUCAAUUCCCAGUAGCACCU